UAGGCAUAGUUUAAAAAAAACCUUGGGCUGUGGUCCCAAAAACAAAGAACAAAAUCUUUUGUCAACC
rnacentral:tRNA from 1 species